AUCUUUUUGUGGUUCAUAAGCAUGAUGAGUGGGUUUUCAUGCCAUUGUGUGUGAUAUUCCUCUCUCAAACCUUGUUACAAUGUCAGUACAUUAUCCCUCUGAUG